rnacentral:hammerhead_ribozyme from 1 species
AUCCAGUUUCUGACGAGUCCCAAAUAGGACGAAACGGGCUUUAUCCUGGAU